UGGGGAAUCUUGCGCAAUGCGCGAAAGCGUGACGCAGCAACGCCGCGUGGGGGAAGACGGCCUUCGGGUUGUAAACCCCUUUCAGAGGGGACGAAGCUUCGGCGGUUAAUAGCCGUUCGGAGUGACGGUACCUUCAGAAGAAGCUCCGGCUAACUACGUGCCAGCAGCCGCGGUAAUACGUAGGGGGCUAGCGUUGUCCGGAAUUAUUGGGCGUAAAGAGCGUGUAGGCUGUUCGAUCAGUUUGCUGUAAAAGUCAAGGGCUUAACCCUUGAAAGCCGGUGAAUACUGUCGGACUAGAGUACGGAAGAGGCGAGUGGAAUUCCUGGUGUAGCGGUGAAAUGCGCAGAUAUCAGGAGGAACACCUAUUGCGAAGGCAGCUCGCUGGGACGUCACUGACGCUGAGACGCGAAAGCGUGGGGAGCAAACAGG
rnacentral:rRNA from 1 species